CUAGAGCACACUGCACAGCCUGCAGGCAGCUCAACAGGCUCCCGUGCCUGUCACUGGACCUCCAACAUACAUUAGCCUCCCAGGAGGUUUUCCAGUACAUCAGCUAUAAUGCUCUUCCUUUCUCUCCCACUUGGUCGAAAUCUUACUGGUGUUCCUGGUCAUCAUGUGGAUUCACUCUGUCUGCGCCAAGGUGUAUUAGAAUCCCACUGUCACAAAGCACGAGAGUCCAAUCGGAAUCACCUGCAGCGAAUGGAGGAAAACCCCUUGCUCAUAUGAGAAAACCAGAACGUUCUGGUUGAAGGCGGCCAUAGACCUGACCAGAAACCUAUGGGGCUAGGGAAACACUUGUUAUGGCGGUGGGCACUCUUGAAGCAUAAACUGUCAUUGAUCUAUACUGGUGGCUCUCGGCUGGGGGUGAUUUUGCUGCCCCUUCUCUCCCAGGAUGCUGGGGCACUGCCUGAGACAUCUUCAAUCAUCACAGGUGAGGCAAUACUGAUUUUUCUGGUCAUGGCAGGAUGGAAGGCUGCUGGGAACCACUCAAUGUAUAGAACAGGUCCCCUCAACAAAGAAUUACCUGGCCCCAGAGGUUGAGAAGCCCUGGCUUACAUAGACAAAUAUACUCCACUUUUAAAGAUUAUAUAUAUCUAUGUUUUUCAAGACAGGGU